rnacentral:rRNA from 1 species
CCUACGGGAGGCAGCAGUGAGGAAUAUUGGUCAAUGGACGAGAGUCUGAACCAGCCAAGUAGCGUGAAGGAUGACUGCCCUAUGGGUUGUAAACUUCUUUUAUAUGGUAAUAAAAUGUUCCACGUGUGGGAUUUUGUAUGUACCAUAUGAAUAAGGAUCGGCUAACUCCGUGCCAGCAGCCGCGGUAAUACGGAGGAUCCGAUCGUUAUCCGGAUUUAUUGGGUUUAAAGGGAGCGCAGGUGGGUUGUUAAGUCAGUUGUGAAAGUUUGCGGCUCAACCGUGAAAUUGCAGUUGAAACCGGCAGUCUUGAGUACAGUAGAGGUGGGCAGAAUUCGUGGUGUAGCGGUGAAAUGCUUAGAUAUCACGAAGAACUCCGAUUGCGAAGGCAGUUCACUGGACUGCAACUGACACUGAGGCUCGAAAGUGUGGGUAUCAAACAGGAUUAGAUACCCCUGUAGUC